GCAAUUAAAUAACCUAACCCCUUUUCUGGACAAAACUUUCUAGACAUUGUCGAUAAUACUAAUCAAUAAUAUCAUUUCAAUAAUAUGAGUUACUAUAUCGUGACAAUUAAUAAUAUAAAAUAUUGUACAGAUGUUACUAUAACAAUUAUUGAAUCAAUAAUAUGUGAUACUAUGUUAUUUCUACUGUAGCAAUUAUUGAAUGAAAUACUGAGUGACUUCUUACAUAAGAAUCAAUAAUCAG
rnacentral:lncRNA from 1 species